rnacentral:rRNA from 1 species
GUGCCAGCCGCCGCGGUAAAACGUAGGAGGCGAGCGUUAUCCGGAUUUACUGGGUGUAAAGCGCGUGCAGGCGGCAGGAUAAGUGGAGCGUGAAAGCGCCCGGCUCAACCGGGCGAGGUCGUUCCAGACUGUCGUGCUAGAGGCAGGUAGAGGCGUGUGGAAUUCCGGGUGUAGUGGUGAAAUGCGUAGAGAUCCGGAGGAACACCAGUGGCGCAAGCGACACGCUGGGCCUGAACUGACGCUCAGACGCGAAAGCAUGGGUAGCGAACGGGAUUAGAAACCCCUGUAGUCC